rnacentral:lncRNA from 1 species
AGUUAACUACCUGUGGUGUUAAAUGAGGCCAGCACCUGGGAAAGAGCCCAGCUGACAACCCUGGAGACUUCUCUCCAGUUUUGGGAGCGGCAGAGCUAGAGAUUGGUGAUUAGAAACAGGAACCUGGCAAGGAGGAGGGAAUAACUUCAGCAGUGCCUUCAGCUCACUCUGCUCACCUGGCCCAACAGCUCUGCCUCAGCCCAACAAACCAUGGUGACCUCUGUUCCAAUCGAACCAGCUGGCUCAGAGGUUAUUCAUUUGGACCAUGAAGAACAGGACUGAGGGAAUUCCUGCGAGCCCCUUGUUCUUCUCACCUCUGCUGCAACAGUCUCCCCAAAAUAGAGCUGCCUGACUUGGCUGGGUCGAUCAAGAGAAUGUGCUGAUGUCAGCAUGCCUGGGGCAGGCUCAGAGGCAGUGCAGCCCGUGGCCAAUGGUUGGAGCGUGAAGGCAAUCCACCCACAGUGAGUGUGCGAGAGUCACUGAGGGUGGGGCAUGGCACGAUUCUCCUCUGACCACACUUGCCCAGUGUAGGCAUGCUGCCAAGCCACUUCCAAGCCACAGUAGCAAAGGGAAGUGGAGAA